UUUAAAGUCUAAUCUGCCCCAUGAGGAAUUAAAUGGCCGCGGUACUUUGACCGUGCAAAGGUAGCAUAAUAAUUAGUUUUUUAAUUGAAAGCUGGAAUGAAUGAUUGGACGAGAAAAUAACUGUCUCAAUUUAAUUUUUUUUUAGAAUUUUAUUUUUAAGUAAGAAAGCUUAAAUUAUAUUAAAAGACGAGAAGACCCUAUAGAGUUUUAUAUUUAGUUGAUUAUUAAUUUUUUAGUAUUAUUUUAUUAAUAUUUAAUUAAAUAUUUUAUUGGGGUGAUAGAAAAAUAUUAUUAACUUUUUUUAUAUUUUAACAUUGAUAUAUGAUUUUAUGAUCCAUUAUUUAUGAUUAAAAGAAUAAGUUACCUUAGGGAUAACAGCGUAAUUUUUUUUUAGAGUUCUUAUCGAAAAAAAAGGUUGCGACCUCGAUGUUGGAUUAAAAUUAAUAUUUGGUGUAGGAGCUAAAUAAUUAGGUCUGUUCGACCUUUGAAAUUUUACA
rnacentral:rRNA from 1 species